AUUGAACGCUGGCGGCAUGCCUUACACAUGCAAGUCGAACGGCAGCACGGGAGCAAUCCUGGUGGCGAGUGGCGAACGGGUGAGUAAUAUAUCGGAACGUGCCCAGUAGUGGGGGAUAGCCCGGCGAAAGCCGGAUUAAUACCGCAUGAGACCUGAGGGUGAAAGCGGGGGAUCGCAAGACCUCGCGCUAUUGGAGCGGCCGAUAUCAGAUUAGCUAGUUGGUGGGGUAAAGGCCUACCAAGGCAACGAUCUGUAGUUGGUCUGAGAGGACGACCAGCCACACUGGGACUGAGACACGGCCCAGACUCCUACGGGAGGCAGCAGUGGGGAAUUUUGGACAAUGGGCGCAAGCCUGAUCCAGCAAUGCCGCGUGCAGGAAGAAGGCCUCGGUUGUAACUAGCUUUGUCUAGGGAGAAAGUACC
rnacentral:rRNA from 1 species